GCACAACGCGAAGAACCUUACCCACCUUUGACAUGUACGGAAUCCUUUAGAGAUAGAGGAGUGCUCGAAAGAGAGCCGUAACACAGGUGCUGCAUGGCUGUCGUCAGCUCGUGUCGUGAGAUGUUGGGUUAAGUCCCGCAACGAGCGCAACCCUUGCCAUUAGUUGCUACGAAAGGGCACUCUAAUGGGACUGCCGGUGACAAACCGGAGGAAGGUGGGGAUGACGUCAAGUCCUCAUGGCCCUUAUAGGUGGGGCUACACACGUCAUACAAUGGCUGGUACAAAGGGUUGCCAACCCGUGAGGGGGAGCUAAUCCCAUAAAGCCAGUCGUAGUCCGGAUCGCAGUCUGCAACUCGACUGCGUGAAGUCGGAAUCGCUAGUAAUCGCGAAUCAGAAUGUCGCGGUGAAUACGUUCCCGGGUCUUGUACACACCG
rnacentral:rRNA from 1 species